AGCUAUAGAGAAUCCGGUGAAAUCUCAAUAAGAGCUGAUUUCUUUCUUGUGAGAAUAAAGAAAAUAUAUUUUUGAGACCAGGAAUGUUCCUCUCGGGAGGUUCACAUUCACCAGUUCACUUCCUACCUCUGCGCUCCGUGAGCGAAUACAUAGUGUUCCACCAGAAUAUUCCCCCGCUCCAAACCCAGUCAACAUAACUAGAGCAGUUCCACCACGGGUGCUUUGAUCCUAUGGUGUUGUACACACUCACCGGAUAAAACAUGGAAUAUUACUGUCACCAUAGAAACACAAAUUGAAGAAAGCUCACAGUAAAG